AGUGAACGCUGGCGGUAGGCCUAACACAUGCAAGUCGAACAGCAGCACAGGAGAGCUUGCUCUCUGGGUGGCGAGUGGCGGACGGGUGAGGAAUACAUCGGAAUCUACUUUUUCGUGGGGGAUAACGUAGGGAAACUUACGCUAAUACCGCAUACGACCUACGGGUGAAAGCAGGGGACCUUCGGGCCUUGCGCGAUUGAAUGAGCCGAUGUCGGAUUAGCUAGUUGGCGGGGUAAAGGCCCACCAAGGCGACGAUCCGUAGCUGGUCUGAAAGGAUGAUCAUCCACGCUGGAACUGAGACACGGUCCAGACUCCUACGGGAGGCAGCAGUGGGGAAUAUUGGACAAUGGGCGCAAGCCUGAUCCAGCCAUACCGCGUGGGUGAAGAAGGCCUUCGGGUUGUAAAGCCCUUUUGUUGGGAAAGAAAUCCAGCUGGCUAAUACCCGGUUGGGAUGACGGUACCCAAAGAAUAAGCACCGGCUAACUUCGUGCCAGCCGCCGCAGUAA
rnacentral:rRNA from 1 species